CAAUAGCGUAUAUUAAAGUUGUUGCGGUUAAAAAGCUCGUAGUUGGAUUUCUGCUGAGAACGACCGGUCCGCCCUUUGGGUGUGUAUCUGGCUCUUUCUUGGCAUCUUCUUGGUGAACGUUGCUGCACUUGACUGUGUGGAGCGCUACCCAGGACUUUUACUUUGAGGAAAUUAGAGUGUUUCAAGCAGGCAUACGCCUUGAAUACAUUAGCAUGGAAUAAUAAGAUAGGACCUCGGUUCUAUUUUGUUGGUUUCUAGAGCUGAGGUAAUGAUUAAUAGGGAUAGUUGGGGGCAUUCGUAUUUAACUGUCAGAGGUGAAAUUCUUGGAUUUGUUAAAGACGGACUACUGCGAAANCANNNGCCGAGGAUGUUUUCAUNGA
rnacentral:rRNA from 1 species